ensembl:lncRNA CYP2U1-AS1 CYP2U1 and SGMS2 antisense RNA 1
GGGUAUACACGCGCGGGCUCGCAGCUGUCAGCAGCCGGAGCCCGAGUGAGCGCGGGCUUGAGACCUGCUGAGCAGCGGGACCUGGCGGCUGGCGUUCUGGUGUGGGGCCGAGAACAGACCCUUCUUCUGAAAAGCCACUGGCCCCUUGUUCUAUGAAGUCGAUUUCUCAUUGUCUUCACCAAUCUUCUGAACCCGUGAAUACUUUUUGCAUGAUGAUUUGAAGCAGCCAGGAGGCCAAGACAGCGGCCAGGAGAAGCAGCAAGGAAUUGAGCCUUGUACAUUUUUCUCAAAAAAAUAAAAGAUGGGGAACCACCAUGCUCGAGAUAAGAAAUUAGUCUGUGAAGAGACCUUCAAGUUCUGUAAAUGGUAGAAAAAAAUUUAAAUGAGACAUAUCUUUCUCAAUUUGCAUCCCAAUUAUUUUCUUAAAUUGUCAUUCACUGUAACCUAGGGAAAACAGAAUUCAGAAUCACAUGGCAGUAAUGAUUUUCAUGUCCUUUCCCUAACUCUACCAUGACUCCGCUCCCCUAACACACCUAGGUGUCUUUCUUUCCUUUGUGGCUCAUGCAAUUUCUUCUGCCUGCAAUUCCAGUAAGAAUGGAGACUCUGGGAAUGGAUUUCAGAAUUAUUCAGGAGGAAUAAUUUUCAGGAUGUGUGAGUGAUCAAAUCUAGGGGCCAAGCAAGUCAAAGAGUGAAAGAAGAGCUCAGAAGUUGAACACAUUUAAGAGGAAAGAUGAAAAUUUUGGUUCAGUGGUGUCAGUAGUCAACUAGAUGGAAGUGUAAGAAGGAAGAUGGAAAUGGGAGACUACAAAAUAGGAAACAGAGCUACAAAGAGAAAUAAAGUAAUCCAAAGAAAGAGCAUUUAUUAGUGGACACCAAGAGUUGGACGUAGAUCCUUUGGAAAUGUAAUAUUUCAAUUGCUCACAAAUUCUCCAAAUUGACAAUAUGGCAAGUCUAUUCAAAGAUAAGUAAGUCAUGGUACACAGACCAACUCUAUUACACCAAGGACACAUACCAAGACUAGGAGAAAAGAGAGACUGGGAGGAAUAAUUCUGCCUUCGGACCAGAGGAAGAGAGCAAGAGUUAGAGACAGCUUCCUGGAAGAGGUGGCAUUUGAGCUAGCUCUUUAAGUUUCAAUGGGAGAAGAAAGAAAAGGCAUCUGGAAACAAGGAAGCAGCAGUAGCAAAUGAGGAAGAAUCAGAAGGGAAGCCAGAGAGCACCAUUAUCACCAGAGGAUAUACCAAAUCCAGUCAUUCAUAAGCUAUUUAUUUUGUGUGAUUUUAAACAAUAGCUGCUAUCGGCUGGGCACGGUGGUUCACGCCUAUAAUCCUGGCACUUUGGGAGGCCGAGGUGGGAGGAUCACCUGAGGUCAGGAGUUCAAGGCCAGCCUGGCCAACAUGGUGAAACCCUGUCUCUACUAAAAAUACAAAAUAAAAAUUAGCCAGGCGUGGUGUCGUGCACCUGUAAUCCCAGCUAUUUGGGAGGCUGAGGCACAAGAAUCGCUUGAACUUGGAAGGUGGAGGUUGCAGUAAGCCAAGAUUGCACCACUGUACUCCAGCUUGGGCAAUAGAACAAGACUCUGUCUCAAAAAAAAAAAAAAUUAAAAAAAAUAGCUGUUACCUUCUCCUUAAAAUUAAUUUAAGUUGAAGGCAGGAUUAUGUCUUACCCAGCUGCACUACAAUGCUUUUACAGAGAAGGUUCCUAAAUUUUAAUUUAGUACAUAUAUUUUUUCAUUCUAGUUUAAGUUACCUGAAUUAGCAAUGCACUGUGCUCCAUAACUUUAUGGCAUUUUUAUCCAUAAAUGGCAUUUAUAUUUGUGAAGUUCUUUGCUUUAUUUUAAAAAGCAGUAAUGGAUAUAUGUUUAAGUGAAUGUGGCAACAUCGGUUAUCCCCAUUAGGCUAUCUAAAACCCCACGACAUGAAAAGGGUCCACUGCAUUCAAAGAAAAGAAAUUAUCCAAGCAUCUUCACUGCUCUCACCUUUUCAUUGGCCAUUGAAUGGUACCACCAAAACAGUCGUGUUGUGAUAUAAUAAGCAAUGAUCACAUCGAUAGUGUAGUGUUCGUGUGCUACAAGAAUGCAGAUGAUCCCGGCAGCACUCAGCAGCCAGCAGAUUAAAUGAUACCACCAGAAGUGACGAGGCGAAUCUGGACAGUAGAAAAAUUACAGAGUUAAUAAGAUUCCCAGAGAUGAAUGUAAUGAUUACAGUCUGUCCUAACGACCUUAAGUAGAAUAACCCAGGAUCAGGAAGUCACCAGAAGGAUAAAACUGAUAACCUAAACUGAGUCACUAUGAACUGCCCAGGAUCUGCUCAGGUAGGAGGGAGGCAGAGGGGCUCCCUGGCAGCGGGCGUAAUAGUCAUUCACUGGGGAAGCUGGUAACACUAGACAUUCUAGGCCUUACCCACGUGAAUAAGCUGUUUAGUAAGAAAGAACAGAAUUGUUUCUUAUUAGGUUUGCUGGAAUUGCUGCAUACUGGCUCACAUAAAGGAGCCACUUUCCCACUGGAAAGAAAGAUAGUAGGGAUCAAAAGAAAAGGUGGUGGUCUAUGAAAAUAAGGGGGGAAAUGGGAAAGCAGGAGUAAUUUCAGGUUUUAAAUUUAUAUUAUUUCUCCAGGGGUAUGUGUAGGGUAAGGGGGUCAGAAGGAAUGGCAUUGUGGCUAGCAAUAUUUUGAUUCUCAGCAAUUUUACACUGUUAUUGCCAAUAGAAACUAUAAAACAUUCCCUCUGUAAAGGUUAGGGUUCCUAACCAUUCACUUAUGGACUCAGCCUUCCUGGUAAAGCCACUUAAAAGUUCAUUCUACUUACUAGCUGUAAGAGACAACUGUGGCACUCACUGGUUUAAACAUGAUGGUCCUCCCCUUCUCACACAAGUGUUAAUGACAAAUAUAACUGAAACCAGAGUUCAUCUCUAGCAGCUUGGUGAUCUGUUUUAUUUUAAAGC